rnacentral:rRNA from 1 species
AGAACGACUCUCGGAAACGGAUAUCUCGGCUCUCGCAUCGAUGAACAACGUAACGAAAUGCGAUACUUGGUGUGAAUUGUGGAAUCCCUUGAACCAUCCAGUCUUUGAACGCAACUUGCACCCGAGGCCUUCGGCUAAGGCUACGCCUGUCUGGGCGUCAGG